rnacentral:rRNA from 1 species
UCGAGAAUCUUCGGCAAUGGGGGAAACCCUGACCGAGCGACGCCGCGUGUGGGAUGACGGCCUUCGGGUUGUAAACCACUGUCAACGGGGAGGAAAUGUAGGAGGGUUCUCCCUUCUAUUUGACCUAUCUGUGGAGGAAGUACGGGCUAAGUUCGUGCCAGCAGCCGCGGUAAGACGAACCGUACGAACGUUACUCGGAAUUACUGGGCUUAAAGGGUGCGUAGGCUGCGCGGUAAGUUGGGUGUGAAAGCCCUCAGCUCAACUGAGGAAUUGCACUCAAAACUACCGUGCUCGAGGGAGGCAGAGGUAAGCGGAACUCAAGGUGGAGCGGUGAAAUGCGUUGAUACCUUGAGGAACACCGGUGGCGAGGGCGGCUUACUGGGUCUCUUCUGACGCUGAGGCACGAAAGCUAAGGUAGCAAACGGG